rnacentral:rRNA from 1 species
GUCGAACGCUGGCGGCGUGCUUAACACAUGCAAGUCGAACGGUAAGGCCCUUCGGGGUACACGAGUGGCGAACGGGUGAGUAACACGUGGGUGAUCUGCCCUGCACUUCGGGAUAAGCCCGGGAAACUGGGUCUAAUACCGGAUAGGACCCUGGGAUGCAUGUCCUGGGGUGGAAAGCUUUUGCGGUGUGGGAUGGGCCCGCGGCCUAUCAGCUUGUUGGUGGGGUGAUGGCCUACCAAGGCGACGACGGGUAGCCGGCCUGAGAGGGUGACCGGCCACACUGGGACUGAGAUACUGCCCAGACUCCUACGGGAGGCAGCAGUGGGGAAUAUUGCACAAUGGGCGCAAGCCUGAUGCAGCGACGCCGCGUGAGGGAUGACGGCCUUCGGGUUGUAAACCUCUUUCAGCAUCGACGAAGCGAAAGUGACGGUAGGUGCAGAAGAAGGACCGGCCAACUACGUGCCAGCAGCCGCCGUAA